GCUUGGGUGGCUCAGUCGAUUAAGCAUCUGACUUCGACUCAGGGCAUGAUCUCGAGGUUUGUGAGUUCGAGCCCCACAUCAAGCU
rnacentral:tRNA from 1 species